AGCAGUAGCCGCGGUAAUACGGAGGGUGCAAGCGUUAAUCGGAAUUACUGGGCGUAAAGCGUGCGUAGGCGGUUCGUUAAGUCUGUUGUGAAAGCCCCGGGCUCAACCUGGGAAUGGCAAUGGAUACUGGCGAGCUAGAGUGUGUCAGAGGAUGGUGGAAUUCCCGGUGUAGCGGUGAAAUGCGUAGAGAUCGGGAGGAACAUCAGUGGCGAAGGCGGCCAUCUGGGACAACACUGACGCUGAGGCACGAAAGCGUGGGGAGCAAACAGGAUUAGAUACCCGCGUAGUCCCUGUCUCUUAUAC
rnacentral:rRNA from 1 species